UUCGCAAUGCCCGAAAGGGUGACGAAGCGACGCCGCGUGUGGGAAGAAGGCCUUCGGGUUGCAAACCACUGUCGGGAGUUAAGAAAUGCAAGGAUAUUAAUAGUGUCUUUGUUUGACUAAGGCUCCGGAGGAAGCCACGGCUAACUCUGUGCCAGCAGCCGCGGUAAUACAGAGGCGGCAAGCGUUGUUCGGAAUUAUUGGGCGUAAAGAGCACGUAGGCGGCUAUGUAAGUCGGUUGUGAAAGCCUUCCGCUCAACGGAAGAACAGCAUCCGAUACUACAUGGCUUGAGUGCGGGAGGGGAGAGUGGAACUUCUGGUGGAGCGGUGAAAUGCGUAGAUAUCAGAAGGAACGCCGGCGGCGAAAGCGGCUCUCUGGCCCAUAACUGACGCUGAGUGUGCGAAAGCUAGGGGAGCAAACGGGAUUAGAUACCCCGGUAGUCCUAGCCGUAAACGAUGGGCACUAAGUAGAGGGGUUUU
rnacentral:rRNA from 1 species